AACCCUAAUUCUCUCUUCAAAACCCUAAUGUCUUAUGUCAUGUGUAAUAUCAUAUGGUUACAAUCAUUUAGUCUGCAUCAAUUUUAUUGGACCUCUACAAGCACCAAUUGGAGAGUCCAAGUUUCUUUCUCUUUCUUCUUACUCUAUUGUCUCACCAUCCUCACACUUUCAUCUCUCUUUUCUCAAUCUCUCUUUCUCUCUGACCUCCCCAUCUCAUCCUUAUGCUCUCAUCUCUCACAUCAGUAUCAUCAUCAUCUAGCAAAUCCAAACCAAGAUCAACUCAAAGUUCACAUGCAAUUGUAGAUUUGUAAUCCUUGAGUCUUGGGCUUUCAAGGAAGGAUCAAGGAGCCAUGGUUAAGGGAUUUGGAGCAAUUUAGAAGAAAAUUGGUAAAACUCGUGUUCCUAGACAGGGCUUCACUAAAACGUUUCACUAUUUUUGGAUCAAUAUUGAUGUCUGAACAUGCUUCUGAAGUUGAGGGCUGAAGCUGUCAAAAUGGUGUUUUGAGGGCUGCGGGUUUGGAUACACAAACGGCGCAAAUGGAUGAUUGACUUAUGUGCAUGCGU